UGUGUGUGGGUAUACUUGUGCACAAAUGUGUACAUGUGUGCACACACACACAAAUGUACACAUGUAU
rnacentral:miRNA from 1 species